CCUACGGGUGGCUGCAGUAGGGAAUAUUGCUCAAUGGUGGAAACCCUGAAGCAGCAACGCCGCGUGGAGGAAGACGGUUCUCGGAUUGUUAACCCUCUUUGUUAGAGAAGCUAAUGACGGUAUCCAACGAAUAAGCACCGGCUAAGUCCGGGCCAGCUGCCGUGGCAAUACGGGGGGUGCAAGCGUUAAUCGGAAUCACUGGGCGUAAAGAGGGCGUAGGCGGGAUAGCAAGUGCGAUGUGAAAACAUAUAGUUUAACCCUAGAACGGCAUUUGAAACUGUUAUUCUAGAGUGUGGGAGAGGUAUGUGGAAUGCUUGGUGUAGGGGUGAAAUCCAUAGAGAUCAAGCAGAAUUCUGAUUGCGAAGGCAGCCUGCUGGAGCUUAACUGACGCUGAUGCGCGAAAGCGUGGGGAUCGAACAGGAUUAGAUACCCCGGUAGUC
rnacentral:rRNA from 1 species